rnacentral:rRNA from 1 species
CAGGCCUAACACAUGCAAGUCGAGCGGAAACGAAGAGAGCUUGCUCUCUGGCGUCGAGCGGCGGACGGGUGAGUAAAGCGCAGGAAUCUGCCCGGCAGAGGGGGAUAGCCCGGAGAAAUCCGGAUUAAUACCGCAUACGCCCUACGGGGGAAAGCAGGGGAUCUUCGGACCUUGCACUGUCGGAUGAGCCUGCGUCGGAUUAGCCAGCUGGUGGGGUAAAGGCCUACCAGGGCGACGAUCCGUAGCUGUUCUGAGAGGAAGAUAAGCCACACUGGGACUGAGACACGGCCCAGACUCCUGCGGGAGGCAGCAGUGGGGAAUAUUGGACAAUGGGCGCAAGCCUGAUCCAGCCAUGCCGCGUGUGUGAAGAAGGCUCUAGGGUUGUAAAGCACUUUCAGCGGGGAGGAAAGGAAGUCGG